UUGAUGACUUUUCAUUUGUUUAGAUUCAGAUUUACUAUGAUUUCUUGGUGCUAUCAUGUUGCAGGUUUGCAAAUAAAAAGUUGGGGUUCCCACAAAAUCUUCUGGGUUCAAGGGCCAGCCACGCCAUGGUAUAAACUAGAGCUCAGAAAUAAUCGGUAUUGGCACAGGAAGUAUGUGCACGUGAACUCUUGAAGUGUUGUAAUCCUCUAUCAAGUAACAAACAACACAAAAGUUGAGCUAUCAUAAUGUGCGCUCAUAAAAUGUCCAGGUUUGAGGCUCACAGGAGAUAUCGAUGAAUUGAGUUGUUGUAUGGAUGGAAGUCACGUUUGAUCCAUUUCCUGAAGGCACAUAGUUUCUCGAAGGUCGAUCCUCGUUGUUUUAUCUUAGGUAUACAUGCAUCAUCUAUUUACAAAACGGUUAUUUGGAAUAUUCGUGGCUUUGACAUCUUAUAGAAAAAUGGUUAGCUGUUUUACACCUAAUGCUCAAUGGUGACUGCUCUGUUUUAGCUUCAAAAAUUGCAUGUGAAGCUAAUUCCGAGUCAAGCUAAUUCUGAUGGGUUCAUUUGUUGUAUAACUUCUGCAAGCGCCAGUGGUCUCGGUGGCUGAACCAAUACUCUCACUGUGUGCCCUCGUUUUACUCUUUCCCAACUUAAGAUGCGGAGAUUUCCAGGAGGAUUGCUAAUUUUGUUGACAACGUGCUCACGAUGCCCCGUCGGUCGAGCCAUGGAAGAAGCUAUUGUGGUUGCUGCCUCAACACCGUCUGCAGGGCAAAAUCAAUAUCCGUGCUGCCGCUGGUGAGAUGGAGACGACGAUUUGAAGUCCCAGCAGCAUUUCUGAUGGCAGAACCAGUUCUCGGACGCCCUCCAUCAGCCCUCACCUAUUGCCUUGAAGAGCAACACCCAACCUACAGCAGCAAGCCCGGAGCAACUCAGAGAUGGUGCAGGGGAAUGCACUCACCAAUCUGGAUAUAUUUGGACCACCAUAUUGUAGUUCCAAACCACAGUCAUCUCGGCCAUUCAUUAAUGGUAAUACUUUAUAAGUGCAUUGUUCCACAAUAGCUUUGAAUUAUGAAAAGGUCUAGACAUAGCUUUGUUUAGUUUGGGUUAAGUGGUAUCUAAAAUCCUAGCCUGUUGUUGGAACCUAACAUACUGGUAUG